rnacentral:tRNA from 2 species
AGGGGAGUAGCUCAAUUGGUAGAGUGGCGGUCUCCAAAACCGUAGGUUGCGGGUUCGAUCCCUGUCUCCCCUG